rnacentral:rRNA from 1 species
UACGAAGGGGGCUAGCGUUGUCCGGAUUCACUGGGCGUAAAGGGCGCGUAGGCGGUUCACUCAGUCGGGCUUGUAAGUGCGGGGCUCACCCCCGUGAUGGGCUCGGGACGGGUGUGACUGGGGCGCGGUAGAGGGAGACGGAAUGCCGGGUGUAGUGGUGAAAUGCGUAGAGAUCCGGCGGAACACCGGUGGCGAAGGCGGUCUCCUUGGCCGAGGGCCGACGCUGAGGCGCGAGAGCGUGGGGAGCGAACCGG